GCUCUGGUGGCCUAGUGCUUAGAGCAUCUACCUCAGAUGUGGGAGGUUGCGGGAUCGAGCCCCGGCCAAGUCA